ACAGUUAAAAAUGUGAAUCGCUAGCUUACAGUUUGUUGAGCAGUAGGAGGACCUCUUCUGGUCCUUCUCACAUCAUAUUUUCAAUUAAAACUCCCCUAAAUCUGGCUUAUUAUACUGUUUUUUUUUAAUAAUGAGUCCAUACGAUUGUCACGAUUGUGUUGUAGUAGUUUGUGUCCAUGUGCGAUGAACACGCUAGAACCUGAUAGGUUAGCCGAGAAAACACGAGAUGAAACCAUUUCACUUUCUGACAAUUACAUGUAAGAAAACCAAGUGUAUCGGGUUCAUUGGAAUUUACUCAAUGAGGAUGAUUCAGAGGAAGCAUUCAGUUUUGUUGUCAACAAUUAUAACGCAUGAGCAAUAAUAUUGCAGGUAUAAACGUGAACGUCCACAAUGAUUUCGUUACUACCAAACGAUUUUCAUUGAGAAUCCUGAUCAACAUCCUGAAGCUGUAACUGCUAGUACAAAUGCACGUCGCUAAAAAUGGGACUCCUGAAGCCAAACAUUAGUUCCAGAUAUAACCAAAGAGCUUUUAGGGCACAAAAAGUCCAAACUAAAAAAUUCCUGAUUCUCAAAUUUCGCUAAUUUGAAUUUUCAUACAAAAAAGUACGAGAGACUCGAUGGAUCCCAAACCAAAAGAUAUCAGUGUCUAAGGUUAGCCCAAUUUCAAAAAAUCGUUACAUGUAAUCAGUUUAUACGUAACUUCGCCAUUCUUCAAUUCUCAUACAAAAAAAAGGUACGAGUGUCUCAGGUUAGCCCGAUUUCAAAAAAUCGUUACUUCUUAUUUAAUUCUUAAAUAACUUCGUUAUUCUUUAAUACUCAUACAAAGAAGGUACGAGUGUCUCAGGUUAGCCCGAUUUCGAAAAAUCGUUACUUCUAUUUAAUCUUCAUAUAACUUCGCCAUUUUUUAAUUCUCGUAUAAAAAUGGUAUUGGUGUCUCAGGUUAGCCCGAUUUCAAAAAAUCGUUACUUCUUAUUUAAUCUUUAUAUAACUUCGUUAUUCUUUAAUUCUCAUACAAGAAACAGGUACGAGUGUCUCAGGUUAGCCCGAUUUCAAAAAAUCGUUACUUCUAUAAAAUCUUUAUAUAACUUCGCCAUUCCUUAAUACUCAUACAAAAAAAAGGUACGAGUGUCUCAGGUUAGACCGAUUUCAAAAAAUCGUUACUUCUUAUUUAAUCUUUAUAUAACUUCGUUAUUCUUUAAUUCUCAUACAAAAAAAAGGUACGAGUGUCUCAGGUUAGCCCGAUUUCAAAAAAUCGUUACUCCUAUUUAUUCUUCAUAUAACAUCCCUAUUCUUCAAUUCUCGUAUAAAAAUGGUAUUGGUGUCUCAGGUUAGCCCGAUUUCGAAAAAUCGCUACAUCCAUUUAUUUUAUACAUAACUUCGCCAUUCUUUAAUUCUCAUACAAAAAAAAGGUACGAGUGUCUCAGGUUAGCCCGAUUUCAAAAAAUCGUUACUUCUUAUUUAAUUCUUAUAUAACUUCGUUAUUCUUUAAUACUCAUACCAAAAAAGGUAUGAGUGUCUCAGGUUAGCCCGAUUUCGAAAAAUCGCUACAUCCAUUUAUUUUAUACAUAACUUCGCCAUUCUUUAAUUCUCAUACAAAAAAAAGGUACGAGUGUCUCAGGUUAGCCCGAUUUCAAAAAAUCGUUACUUCUUAUUUAAUUCUUAUAUAACUUCGUUAUUCUUUAAUACUCAUACAAAAAAAGGUACGAGUGUCUCAGGUUAGCCCGAUUUCGAAAAAUCGUUACUUCUAUAAAAUCUCUAUAUAACUUCGCCAUUCCUUAAUACUCAUACAAAAAAAAGGUACGAGUGUCUCAGGUUAGCCCGAUUUCGAAAAAUCGCUACAUCCAUUUAUUUUAUACAUAACUUCGCCAUUCUUUAAUUCUCAUACAAAAAAAGGUACGAGUGUCUCAGGUUAGCCCGAUUUCAAAAAAUCGUUACUUCUUAUUUAAUCUUUAUAUAACUUCGUUAUUUCAUUAAUUCUCAUACAAAAAAAAGGUACGAGUAUCUCAGGUUAGCCCGAUUUCAAAAAAUCGUUACUUCCUAUUUAAUUCUUAUAUAACUUCGUUAUUCUUUAAUACUCAUACAAAAAAAGGUACGAGUGUCUCAGGUUAGCCCGAUUUCGAAAAAUCGCUACAUCCAUUUAUCUUAUACAUAACUUCGCCAUUCUUUAAUUCUCAUACAAAAAAAGGUACGAGUGUCUCAGGUUAGCCCGAUUUCGAAAAAUCGUUACUUCUAUUUAAUCUUCAUAUAACUUCGCCAUUUUUUAAUUCUCGUAUAAAAAUGGUAUUGGUGUCUCAGGUUAGCCCGAUUUCGAAAAAUCGUUACUUCUAUUUAAUCUUUAUAUAACUUCGCCAUUUUUUAAUUCUCAUA